CAUUAGCCACGGGAAUACGUAGGGUGCAAGCGUUAAUCGGAAUUACUGGGCGUAAAGCGUGCGCAGGCGGUUAUAUAAGACAGAUGUGAAAUCCCCGGGCUCAACCUGGGAACUGCAUUUGUGACUGUAUAGCUAGAGUACGGCAGAGGGGGAUGGAAUUCCGCGUGUAGCAGUGAAAUGCGUAGAUAUGCGGAGGAACACCGAUGGCGAAGGCAAUCCCCUGGGCCUGUACUGACGCUCAUGCACGAAAGCGUGGGGAGCAAACAGGAUUAGAUACCCCUGUAGUCCCUGUCUCUUAUAU
rnacentral:rRNA from 1 species